rnacentral:sRNA from 1 species
AAAUAGCCCUGAUAGAAGUGAAAAUCCUUUUUAGUCUUGAACUUGUUUCAGGAUCCUGAAACAAGUUCAGGACUAAAAAGAUUGCAACGUAUAGCAGGAAUUAGC